CUUUCAAGUAGUGCCAGACAGGUGUGUCCCU
rnacentral:piRNA from 1 species